ACCAAUCAUGGGUUACCAUGGCAGCAAUGUGGACAUUCUGUAUUUACUACUGUAUUUCUUCUAUUCCUUCUCGAACAAAAAAAGUAAUUCUAGCUGGAGAAGACAAUAAAUAUUGGAGGUAUAAAGGGAGACAGGAAGAACACUGAUGAAAGAACACAAAAGCCAUUAACUGCUAAACUAGUAAUAUUUUUGGAGGAGAGAAAUGAUUACAAAGAAGGGACUUAAUAUGUACCUUAUCAUAUCUGAGAAGCCGUUUAUGCAGGAAUUGACCUUGAUGGCAACUCGAAUAUUACACAUGUCCAACCUGCUAAACUGAAGAUAAAUGUCAAGUUCACAAUAAAGAGAUUAAUCUUGGCA